rnacentral:rRNA from 1 species
UACGAAGGGGGCUAGCGUUGUUCGGAAUCACUGGGCGUAAAGGGUGCGUAGGCGGGUUUUUAAGUCGGGGGUGAAAUCCUGGAGCUCAACUCCAGAACUGCCUUCGAUACUGGAAGACUUGAGUCCGGGAGAGGUGAGUGGAACUGCGAGUGUAGAGGUGAAAUUCGUAGAUAUUCGCAAGAACACCAGUGGCGAAGGCGGCUCACUGGCCCGGUACUGACGCUGAGGUGCGAAAGCGUGGGGAGCAAACAGG